GUUUUCAUUCUGGAGGUAUGAAGAGUUCCAAGGGACCCUCUUCAUCUGGCUUAGAACCUAGCUGGAUGAGAGCAGAUGCUAAGAAGGAAUUCAAAUCCACGUAACUAACUCUAUACCUGAAGUCGACUGCAGGUUUCAAAAGGAGCUGAAAACACUUGACAGCCCGGAAAUGUCAGUUCUCUGAAAUGGAUCACAAUAAUCACUCGUGUCUGGUUAGAAGGAUACAAGAGAUGUAAGGUAAUUCUGCAGAGGAGGGGGGAAAAUAUCUUUAGCCCAAGAGGGAAAAAAAGCAUAAAAGUAGCUUUUUAUCCCCUCUGGGACAGUACCUUGAGACUGUUGGGACGCUUCAUUAAAAUGCAAACAUGUGAAAUCGUGAAACGGGGGAAAAACAGAAAAAAGGAAAAAAAAAGUGGUUGGGGAAAA